AGAAUCAACGCCGGCGGCGUGCCUAACACAUGCAAGUCGAACGAGAAAGUGGAGCAAUCCAUGAGUAAAGUGGCGCACGGGUGAGUAACACGUGACUAACCUACCCUUGAGUGGGGGAUAACCUAGAGAAAUCUGGGCUAAUACCGCAUAAUACCUUCGGGUCAAAGGAGCAAUUCGCUUAAGGAGGGGGUCGCGGCCGAUUAGUUAGUUGGCGGGGUAAUGGCCCACCAAGACUGUGAUCGGUA
rnacentral:rRNA from 1 species